rnacentral:lncRNA from 1 species
AAUUACUGAAGUUUAUAUUUGCUACUUUUCUUCUUAAUUUCAUAUAAAUUUUUUUUUGAUUUUUUUUCUUCGAAAAAUUAGUGGUGUUGAAAUAGGGAAUGGACACAGAUACCUUAUCACAUUUAACCAAAGAAAUGUUGUAUAAUGUCAUCAAUCUGUAUUACACGUAGACAGGAUGUUCUCUAGAAAACUAUACGUUAUACACACCCGAGAAUACACGCACUGUCGUAAAUG